AUGGCGUGCCGCGUGCCGGGCCCGGCCCGUUUAGCACAUGCCGUGCCGUGCCGGCCGUGCUACCGGGCCGGCCCAACUAUCCCGGCCCGUUUGGCCAGCCCACAGGCCACCCUCACCAUCAAUCUACACAACUUCCUCUAUAGUCUACAUCUAGCUAACCACCACGAUUUUGAAUUAUUCAACUUGGCCCUCCUAGCGCGCCAAGCAUGGCGCAUUCUCCAGUUUCCGAAGACCCUGAGUGCGCGUAUAAUUAAAGCAGUAUAUUUCCCUUUGUCAGAUAUCAUGGAAGCAUCGUUAGGCUCUUCUCCAUCUCAAGUGUGGAGAGCCAUAGUUGAAGGACGAGACAUGCUAAAGCUUGGUUUGAUCAGGAGAAUAGGCAAUGGUGCAGCAACGAAAAUAUGGGGAGAUAAUUGGAUACCG
rnacentral:rRNA from 1 species